rnacentral:rRNA from 1 species
GGACGAACGCUGGCGGCGUGCUUAACACAUGCAAGUCGAACGAUGAAGCCUUUCGGGGUGGAUUAGUGGCGAACGGGUGAGUAACACGUGGGCAAUCUGCCCUGCACUCUGGGACAAGCCCUGGAAACGGGGUCUAAUACCGGAUAAUACUUUUCUCUGCAUGGGGAAAGGUUAAAAGCUCCGGCGGUGCAGGAUGAGCCCGCGGCCUAUCAGCUUGUUGGUGGGGUAAUGGCCUACCAAGGCGACGACGGGUAGCCGGCCUGAGAGGGCGACCGGCCACACUGGGACUGAGACACGGCCCAGACUCCUACGGGAGGCAGCAGUGGGGAAUAUUGCACAAUGGGCGAAAGCCUGAUGCAGCGACGCCGCGUGAGGGAUGACGGCCUUCGGGUUGUAAACCUCUUUCAGCAGGGAAGAAGCGAAAGUGACGGUACCUGCAGAAGAAGCGCCGGCUAACUACGUGCCAGCAGCCGCGGUAAUACGUAGGGCGCAAGCGUUGUCCGGAAUUAUUGGGCGUAAAGAGCUCGUAGGCGGUUUGUCACGUCGGAUGUGAAAGCCCGGGGCUUAACCCCGGGUCUGCAUUCGAUACGGGCAGACUAGAGUGUGGUAGGGGAGAUCGGAAUUCCUGGUGUAGCGGUGAAAUGCGCAGAUAUCAGGAGGAACACCGGUGGCGAAGGCGGAUCUCUGGGCCAUACUGAC